UCCCUCUUAGCUCAGUUGGUAGAGCGCGUCACUAGUACUAACACUAGGACAUGACGAGGUCAGUCGUUCAAAUCGGCUUAGCGGGAA